AAAUGAUAGGAGAAGACAGGAGGGGGAGGGAUGGAGCCAAGAGCUGGACAGGUGAUUGGCAAAAGGGAUAUGAGAGGAUCAUGGGACAGGAGGCCCAGGGAGAAGGAAAAGUGGGAGGGGGGAAAAACCCAGAGGAUGGGCAAGGGGUAUAGUCAGAGGGACAGAGGGAGAAAAAGGAGAGAGAGAGAAAGAAUGUGUAUAUAUAAAUAAAUAACGGAUGGGGUAUGAGGGGAAGGUGGGGUAUUAUCGGAAGUUUGAGAAGUCAAUGUUCAUGGGAAUCAUCCUGCAUAAUGUGUUACCAAAGGGGAGAGGGAGGGAAUAGUCCUGCACAAUGUGCUGUCAAAGGACUGAGAGAGGGAAUCAUCCUGCAUAAUGUGCUAUGAAAGGGCAGAGGUAGGGAAUUGUCCUGCACAAUGUGCUGUCAAAGGAGGGAAUGGAGUGAUGGUGCUGGUGGGAUGAAGAAAAAAGAGUAGACAUAAGGAGCACUUAACCAGAAGUGACAGAAAUUGAUGCUUCCCAUCUUCCCUUUCCCUUCCUUUGCCCAUCAACCACACACACCCCUCCCUUCAGUUUGCCUAUUCACUGCCUUCCUUCAAUUUUAUGGGUCACUGCCCUCUCCUAUCAGAUUCCAUCUUCUUCAGUCAUUUGUAAUUUCCACCAAUCAGCUCCCAGCUUUUCACAUCAUUUCCACUCUCCUUCAUCUGCCUAUCACCUCCCUCAUCUGGCUCUACCUGCUAGCCAGCCACUCCUUCCAUCUUUCUAUGCUUACAAUCUCUCCACAUAUGCUGUUGGGCUACUGAAUGCUUCAGUUUGGACACAGCUUUCGAGUCAACCAGUUUGAAAAUGCCUUUCUCCCUCUGAGUCCAUUUGAUAUAUCGGGGACAUGUAUUCUUGUCUUGGAGCAAAGCCAGAAGGAACUCCCAGAGGGGUACCUGCAGCUCCUUUUGAUAUUUUCACAGUGAAAUUAAACACAAAGUCAACAGUGAACAGAAAAUAUCAGCGAACAGCAAAUGCACGUGUAACCAGUACGACCGCUGAGCCACAAUUGACGUCUGGGGGCCUCUGCUAGUGUUGUCACGUCACACCUGAGUGACGUCAGCUGUUGGUGAAAAAAACUUCGGUUUUCGGAGCUUUUUAGAUUUCAGAUUUUUGGAUAAAGGAUUUCUGCUUUGCCCUUAAUGGGCUCAUGCAGGCAAGAGAGCUGAUUCUUUUAAAAUGUUAUUUAAAUUAAUUAUGAUACUUUCAAUUAAAUUUAUAUGAGCUCUUAAAUAAACUCAUUACGUGUCAUAUUUUUUUUUGUUUUUCAAAUUAUCUGCAUCCUGUUUGAAAUGUCUCUAGUCACUGGAAGCACUUCCAAGCAGUUGCAAAGUUCCACUCUCUGCCAGCUCUCCUUGAAGCAAUAACGCCUGGACCACAGAGACACCCACAACAUAUAAAUAGUGUGGGUUGCCGGCCCAGAUCA